rnacentral:hammerhead_ribozyme from 1 species
ACAUUGAUGAUGAGUCCCAAACAGGACGAAACAGCUGUCCAGUGA